rnacentral:rRNA from 1 species
ACGAAGGCUGUGUGUAGCCAAAAGGAUUAGAUACCCAAGUAGUCUCAGCAGAAAAUGAUGAAUGUCAUAGGAUAGAUUAAUUUUUGUACUAUAAAUGAAAGUGUAAGCAUUCCACCUUAAGAGUAAUUUGGCAACAUUGGAACUGAAAUCAUUAGACCGUUUCUGAAACAAGUAUUGAAGUAUGUUGUUUAAUUUGAUGGUCCGCAAAAAACCUUACCACAAUUUGAAUAUAAAUUCUUGAUACAAGCGCUGCACGGUUGUCUUCAGUUAAUGUCGUGAGAUUGUGGUUAGUUCCAUUAAAUUAACGUAAACCCUUACUUUAUUUUCAUAUAGAGUUGUUCACCGCUAGAUUGGUUGUGAUAACAGGGACUAAGACAAGUCAUCAUGGCCUGAAUAUUG